rnacentral:lncRNA from 1 species
GAUCCGGAAGUGGCGCUCCGGGGAGAAGGUGGCUGCGGCUGCUGGGGCCGCUGCGCCGGCGGCGGUUCCCGAUGUGGAGGUCCGUCUUGGGUGGGGAGGCACCCAGGUCGCUGGUUCGAUGCAGAGGAAGAAACCACACCUAGCACGUAAAGCCCUGAAAAAAUAGAGGUGUACAGUAGAGUUUUCCAGAGGCUACAUGACAUGCAGUAUCACAACGGAAGCAAAUAUAAGAACCCACCUGUCUCCUGUUAAAAUGCAAAAUGUAAAACAAUACCACUUUGCUAACUGUUUUUGUUUGGGGAAAUAUAGUUCAUAAAAAUAUUUAUGUUAACAUGUAAUUUAGGUUAAAAUAAAUUAAUAAAUAUUUGUAAAUUGUCUGUUUUAAUUUCUAAUAUGGUAAAUACAGAUAGAUAUAACCCAUAUAAACAAAACCUGUUUGGGGUCCUCAAUAAUAUUGAAGAGUGUUAUACAGGGGUCCUAAGGCCAAAGAAUUUGAUAAUGCUGCUCUAAGUCUUCCUUAUCCAUUAAAGUCCAAAUGAAAGCUGGGAACAGUAGCUAAUGCCUGUAACCCCAGUGCUUUGGGAGGCCGACAUAGGAGGAUUACUUGAGGCCAGGAGUUUGAGACCAGACAGGGCAACAUACGGAGACCCUGUUGCUACAAAAAUAAAUUUAAAACGUAGUUGGUCAUGGUGGCACAUGUCUGUAGUCCUAACUACUUGGGAGGCUGAGGCAGGAAGAUCACUUGAGCCUAGGAGCUUGAGGCUGCUAUGAUCCCGCCACUGCACUCCAGCCUGGGUGACAAAGCAAGACCCUGUCUCUGAAAAAAUAAAUAAAAUAGUUUUAAACUUAGAAAAAAAAGGUUCAUGUCAAAGCCUUCCUACUCGAUAAGACUUUUUGACCACUGCAACUAGAGAGGAUCUUGUCUGUCUCUGAAUACUACACACUUAUGGCACUUACACACUUAUGGCUCUUUUUUAUCAUUCAUCUAGUACAGACCUUGUGCCAAAAAGGAAUAU